AAGAAAGCCUUCAUUUGCAAGGGCAUGAGUCUGGAAAUCUCAUUCUUGAGAUCUCACCUCAGACAUCACUUUUUGGGGGUAGAGCUGAGCCUUCAGUCAAGUGAGAUUCCGCUGGCACCUCCGACACUUCAGCAGAAGCCUACUGUUUGUCUUCAGGGCCCUUAUCUGAAAUAUGGUCAUUGUCUUUGAGGCUCUUCUUGUCAAACCUACUUCCCCACCCCCUGAAUCUGGGCUGCCUUGGAACACGCUCUGACCCAAUGAAUUUGGAGGCUUCACCCGCUCCUCCCACCGCCUCAGAACGCAGCCCUGAGACCUCCAUGCCAGUCAGCUCAAGACUGACGGAGAAGGAUGAAGUUCCAUGGGUCAGCUGCGUGGCUCUUCUGGUCUAGGCUAGCUUGGCUGAAUUCAGAGGCAGAAGAUACAAAAUAUACAUUUGGGAUGCUAACAGGACAUAGAAAAUCUGCCAAGCGACCGUGGAAAAUGGUCCAGGCCUGUGGGCCCAAGAAGCUGGGAGAAUUGGUGAUGUGCAUGCAUGUGUGGGUGUUAGAAACUGACCAAUUAAUAAAGCCGACACUUGGC
rnacentral:lncRNA from 1 species